rnacentral:rRNA from 1 species
GCCAGCAGCCGCGGUAAUACGUAGGGUGCAAGCGUUAAUCGGAAUUACUGGGCGUAAAGCGUGCGCAGGCGGUCCGCUAAGACAGAUGUGAAAUCCCCGGGCUUAACCUGGGAACUGCAUUUGUGACUGGCGGGCUAGAGUAUGGCAGAGGGGGGUAGAAUUCCACGUGUAGCAGUGAAAUGCGUAGAGAUGUGGAGGAAUACCGAUGGCGAAGGCAGCCCCCUGGGCCAAUACUGACGCUCAUGCACGAAAGCGUGGGGAGCAAACAGGAUUAGAUACCCUGGUAGUCCACGCCCUAAACGAUGUCAACUAGUUGUUGGGGAUUCAUUUCCUUAGUAACGUAGCUAACGCGUGAAGUUGACCGCCUGGGGAGUACGGUCGCAAGAUUAAAACUCAAAGGAAUUGACGGGGACCCGCACAAGCGGUGGAUGAUGUGGAUUAAUUCGAUGCAACGCGAAAAACCUUACCUACCCUUGACAUGUAUGGAAUCCUGCUGAGAGGUGGGAGUGCCCGAAAGGGAGCCAUAACACAGGUGCUGCAUGGC